UACGAAGGGAGCUAGCGUUGUUCGGAAUCACUGGGCGUAAAGCGCACGUAGGCGGAUUGCUAAGUCAGGGGUGAAAUCCCGGGGCUCAACCUCGGAACUGCCUUUGAUACUGGCGGUCUAGAGUCCGGAAGAGGUGGGUGGAAUUCCUAGUGUAGAGGUGAAAUUCAUAGAUAUUAGGAGGAACACCGGUGGCGAAGGCGGCCCACUGGUCCGGUACUGACGCUGAGGUGCGAAAGCGUGGGGAGCAAACAGG
rnacentral:rRNA from 1 species